AUGAAUAAGCAUCAGAAGCCAGUGCUAAUAGGCCAGAGGUUCAAAACUCGGAAAGGGAUGAAAAAGAGAAACUUGAACCCACAAUUUUCGGGGAUACACUUAUCCAGGGGCUUAACAAAGCUGAUGACAACUUCGAAGCUGUAGCCAAGGUCCUGGACUCUUUGGGUUCGCUAUUAGAUUAUCAUCGCUAUGCGGACACCCUCUUUGAUGUUUUGGUGGCAGGCAGUAUGCUUGCCCCCGGAGGAACAUGCGUAGAUGAUGGUGACAAGACCAAGAAGACCAACCACUGUGUGUUUUCAGCAAAUGAAGAUCAUGAAACCAUCAGAAACUACGCUCAGGUCUUCAAUGAACUCAUCAGGAGAUAUAAAUAUUUGGGAAAGGCAUUCGAAGAUGAAAUGAAAAAGCUUCUCCUCUUCCUUAAAGCCUUUUCCAAAACAGAGCAGACAGAGUUGGCAAUGCUAUCAGGGAUCCUGCCGGGCAACAGUACCUGCCUGACACUAUCCUCACCAGCCUCUUCACAGACAGCUUAGUCACAGAAGGCAUUGCAGCCUUCUUUGCUGUCGCUUUUUAAAGCAUGAUUGGCAGAAAAAGAUGCCAACUCUGUUACCUCGUCUUUGAGAAAAGCCAACUUAGACAAGAGACCGCUUGAACUCUUUCCAGUUAACAGAGUGUGGAUCAUUUUGCUGAACACUUCACUGACGCAGGUCUAAAGGAGCUUUCCGAUUUCCUCCGAGUCCAACAGUCCCUGGGUACCAGGAAGGAACUGCAGAAGGAGCUCCAAGGGUGUCUUUCUCAGGAAUGUCAGAUCAAGCAGGUGGUGCUUUAUGUCAAAGAAGAAAUGAAGAGGAACGAUCUACCCCAAACAGCAGUUAUCGGGCUUCUGUGGACCUGUGUGUAAUGAAUGCUGUUGAGUGGAAUAAGAAGGAAGAACUCGUGGCAGAGCAGGCUCUCAAGCACCUGCAGCAAUAUGCUCCCUUACUGGCUGUGGUCAGCUCCCAAGGCCAGUCGGAGCUGAUCCUCCUCCAGCAGGUUCAGGAAUAUUGUUACGACAACAUCCACUUCAUGAAAGCUUUUCAGAAGAUCGUGGUUCUCUUCUGUAAAGCCGAUGUUCUGAGCGAAGAAGCAGUACUGAAAUGGUACAAAGAAGCACACGUUGCUAAGGGCAAAAGGGUUUUUCUUGACCAGAUGAAGAAAUGUGUUGAGUGGUUACAAAAUGCAGAAGAAGAUUCUGAAUCAGAAGGUGAAGAAAAUUAAGUAGCUCAACAAGUGCAAUACCUGGGUUACCACACAACACUUCUUGACUGGGAAUGCUGAACCAUUUGAGAAGAGCAACUUGGCUUCUGUUUUCAUAAAGGAAAAAAAAAAUAGGCUAGGCUUCCCUUGUGCAUAGGGGAAGCUGGUUUUGGUUUUUGUUUUGUUUUUAAAUGGAGCCCUGAGGCAUCAGCUGUUAUACUUGGGACUCUACCUGUCACUCAUGGUAUGCUGAUCUAAAGCCAUUCAACAAGGAGUCAAGUUGGAAUCUGAAAUUAAAUAGUCAACGGACUCCUCCUUUUCAGCUGUAUUUUUCAGGUACUGUGUGGUCAACGCCCCACUGGUGUCUGUUUACAGGGCCACUUUGGUAGUUGUGU